rnacentral:rRNA from 1 species
CUAAGGUACUGCGGAGACAUUACCGAGUUGAUUCGAGCUCCGGCUCGACUCUCCCACCCCAUGUGUACCUACCUCUGUUGCUUUGGCGGGCCGCGGUCCUCCGCACCGACCCCCGUUCGGGGGCCGGCCAGCGCCCGCCAGAGGACCACAAAACUCCAGUCAGUAAACAUCGCAGUCUGAGAAACAAGUCAAUAAACUAAAACUUUCAACAACGGAUCUCUUGGUUCUGGCAUCGAUGAAGAACGCAGCGAAAUGCGAUAAGUAAUGUGAAUUGCAGAAUUCAGUGAAUCAUCGAAUCUUUGAACGCACAUUGCGCCCCUUGGUAUUCCGAGGGGCAUGCCUGUUCGAGCGUCAUUUCAACCCUCAAGCUCUGCUUGGUAUUGGGCUCCGUCCUCCGCGGACGCGCCUCGAAGACCUCGGCGGUGGCGUCUUGCCUCAAGCGUAGUAGAAAACACCUCGCUUUGGAGCGCACGGCGUCGCCCGCGGGACGAACCUUUGAAUUUUUCUCAAGGUUGACCUCGGAUCAUGUAGGGAUACCCGCUGAACUUAA